CAGCAGCCACGGGAAUACGAAGGGGGCUAGCGUUGCUCGGAAUUACUGGGCGUAAAGGGAGCGUAGGCGGACUGUUUAGUCAGAGGUGAAAGCCCAGGGCUCAACCUUGGAAUUACCUUUGAUACUGGCAGUCUUGAGUACGGAAGAGGUAUGUGGAACUCCGAGUGUAGAGGUGAAAUUCGUAGAUAUUCGGAAGAACACCAGUGGCGAAGGCGACAUACUGGUCCGUUACUGACGCUGAGGCUCGAAAGCGUGGGGAGCAAACAGGAUUAGAUACCCCCGUAGUCCCUGUCUCUUAUAC
rnacentral:rRNA from 1 species